rnacentral:lncRNA from 1 species
CCACCACCAAGCUUGCAAGCAGAAGAGGCAGCAAGUGAUGCUGAAGGCUGUGCUGCAGCCACUUCACCGGAACCUAGAGCUACCUGUGAACAGGUCUCCUACACGUUGAAGAUUUUUCUGGAUUUAGGGUGUCUAACCUUUGAUGGGAAAGGGCAGCUUCAUCUUGGAGUGUUUACUUUCAAGAAUUGCUAUGGGCUAAAAAUCAAUUCUCUUUAAAAGCAAAGAUUUAAUCUGAUAAGGAAUCAAUGCAGCAUGCUAAAUACCUUUCAUAUGGCAUGAAAACGUCUUCAGUUACUCAAGCCACAGGCAAUGAGAAUAAGGUGCCACAGCACCGUAUUUUUCACAAAAAGAGUGACCUGGGAUUCAAGAAACCUGUAUAGUAUAACUAUCGCCAGUUCGUUUUGUGGCUUUGGGCAAGUCACUUCACCUUUUGUGAAAGUCUGGAGCUUCUUUAAAAUUUCUGAACUGCAUUAGAUAACGCUUUAAAAAUAUACCUGACAUUCUGUAACUUUAAAUAAAUGAAAAAUGCCAAUCUAUUAAGUGCUUAAUUUUGUGCCGGGCACGAUUUCAAAUUCUUUCCUUAUUUCACUUAGUUAUAAAAUGGAGGCACAAGAAGUUUCCUAAGUAGUCCAGUAUGGCAGAGCUAGUGAUGGAGUCAGGGUAAAACCUACUUCGAGUCUGGUCUUAACCACGAUGAUGCUCCUUCGACGAUUUCUUCGAGUACUGGGCCCUGUUCAACCUCAUCUUGGUAUCACUAAACGCUCGUGUGUGUGUCUGGUGGUUACAUCUUCCCAAACUGGAUUUUAAAUGAAUACAGUGAACCCUAACGUUUUUCUGGUGUGGAUAGUAAGUAGGCCCAUUGGAUUAACAAUACUUAAGCUUGGGUAAUUGAAAGCAUUUUUUAAAAUGAAGACGGUCCUAUUUUGGAAAUGCAGAAAGGCGAGAUGAAAGCCAAACUCUGACAGUUAAGUCCUAACCUCCAGUACCUCAGAAUAUGAACUUAUUUGGAAAUAAGCUGUUGAAGAACACCAUGUGACAACAAAGGCUCCAACUUCAGUUACCCAGCUGCAAGCCAAAGGAAUGCCAAAGACAGCCAGCAAACCUCCAGAAGAGAGGAAGAGACAAGGCAGGAUUCCCCGCUGGAGGCUUCAGAAAGAGCAUGUCACUGCCCACCCCCACAUACUGCCUCUGGUUUGUGGUACUUUGUUACAGCAGCCCUUGGAAGCUAAUACAAAUGCUAUUAUAAAGCCUUUUUCUUUAAAGGGGUCUUUCUUUUAAAAUUUAUUCUUAAGUACUUUAUGGUUUUUGAUCAUUGAGAGAGACUGCCUACUAAUUCAUCAAGUUUUCUAACAUCCAGCCACCCUAACACAAUUCUUAUUAAUUCUAUUAAGGGCUCAGUCUUUUUUGUUUUUAACUAAAAUCACUUGGGUUAAUAGGUAUACAAUGACAUUUUCAACAAAUAUGUUAAUAAUUGCUUUGAAGCCAAAGUAUCAUUGUCUAUCUACUUAAGAUAUAUUACUCUUGGAAAUUCUGCUAAAUUUGUUUACUUGCUAAUAUUUUAGUUUAAGGUUUCUGCAUUUAUAUUAGUAAGAAGGCAGCAUAAAUCUUUUGUGCAACUUAAUUAGCCUUGGGUAUUAAUAACUUGUCAGUGUUUUUUGAGAAAAAUUGCAUAGGUUUCCAUCUUUUCCUUUGGUCUAGAAUAAUUCAAGAGGGUACUGUAAUUAUCUGUUCUUUAAAAUUAAGCUUUUAACCAAUCUGACCCUGAUACUUUAAGGACAGGUCUUUAA